UGGGGAAUUUUGGACAAUGGGGGAAACCCUGAUCUAGCCAUCCCGCGUGUGCGAUGAAGGCCUUCGGGUUGUAAAGCACUUUUGGCAGGAAAGAAACGUCAUGGGUUAAUACCCCGUGAAACUGACGGUACCUGCAGAAUAAGCACCGGCUAACUACGUUCCAGCAGCCGCGGUAAUACGUAGGGUGCAAGCGUUAAUCGGAAUUACUGGGCGUAAAGCGUGCGCAGGCGGUUCGGAAAGAAAGAUGUGAAAUCCCAGAGCUCAACUUUGGAACUGCAUUUUUAACUACCGGGCUAGAGUGUGUCAGAGGGAGGUGGAAUUCCGCGUGUAGCAGUGAAAUGCGUAGAUAUGCGGAGGAACACCGAUGGCGAAGGCAGCCUCCUGGGAUAACACUGACGCUCAUGCACGAAAGCGUGGGGAGCAAACAGG
rnacentral:rRNA from 1 species